rnacentral:rRNA from 1 species
GAUGAACGCUGGCGGCGUGCCUAAUACAUGCAAGUCGAGCGAACAGAUGAGGAGCUUGCUCCUCUGACGUUAGCGGCGGACGGGUGAGUAACACGUGGAUAACCUACCUAUAAGACUGGGAUAACUUCGGGAAACCGGAGCUAAUACCGGAUAAUAUAUUGAACCGCAUGGUUCAAUAGUGAAAGACGGUUUUGCUGUCACUUAUAGAUGGAUCCGCGCCGCAUUAGCUAGUUGGUAAGGUAACGGCUUACCAAGGCAACGAUGCGUAGCCGACCUGAGAGGGUGAUCCGCCACCCUGGAACUGAGACACGUUCCAGACUCCUACGGGAGGCAGCAGUAGGGAAUCUUCCGCAAUGGGCGAAAGCCUGACGGAGCAACGCCGCGUGAGUGAUGAAGGUCUUCGGAUCGUAAAACUCUGUUAUUAGGGAAGAACAAAUGUGUAAGUAACUAUGCACGUCUUGACGGUACCUAAUCAGAAAGCCACGGCUAACUACGUG